UCCUCGAUAGUCUAGUGGUGAGGAUAUCGGCUUGUCACUCAUACGAUGCGCCGGGGACCGGGGUUCAAUUCCCCGUCGAGGAG
rnacentral:tRNA from 2 species